UGUCCCCGUCCUCUGUAUUCCCAGGACUGUCCAGAGGAGAAGGUCCCAGAGAAUCCUCAGAUGACAAAUCAGGAGGAAGAUCUGACUGAUAUUAAAGUGGAGGAUGAAGAAGAGAGGAUGAUGAGUGAUCCCCUAUGUAAGAGUGAGGUGGAGGAGGACAUUCCUGGACAUGUCACUACAGGAAAUCCCAGUAGGAAUUCUGAAGGAAACUUCAUGUUAUCACUAAAUUAUAAUGAAGAUGAAGAUAUCAUGCAGCGCUCUUCAGGAG